GACUUUCUUAUCAUGUUGAACCACUAUCGAGCAAUGUCAUGGCCUACAGGUCCGCCCUUACAUAUCAAGACAUUAAAACAACCUUCGUAUCGAAGUUCUUUGGCUUGGGAGGUAUUGGAAAAAAAGAUUCAACAAGUAGUGACCAUGCUGCUCAACAAGACCCAACUAAAAGCAGCUACGGAAAUCAGGCAGCUCCAGCACUUGAACUGCAACCCUACUGGCCAAUCAAGCUUACCUGGGAGUAGUUUUGCAGGUUGACGCUUGGGAUCUUGAUAUUGACGAAGCCGGCCUCCCAAAUCAUGAAUUGUUACAGGCAAUUCCAUUGUACCUAUUAGAGAUGGCCCCACCAACUCAUCAACUAUACAUGGCAUUCCAAGAACAAGAAAGAGUUUUGAGUGUGGUAG